rnacentral:rRNA from 1 species
GACGAACGCUGGCGGCGUGCUUAACACAUGCAAGUCGAACGGAAAGGCCCUGCUUUUGUGGGGUGCUCGAGUGGCGAACGGGUGAGUAACACGUGCGUAACCUGCCCUUGACUUUGGGAUAACUUCAGGAAACUGGGGCUAAUACCGGAUAGGAGCUCCUGCUGCAUGGUGGGGGUUGGAAAGUUUCGGCGGUUGGGGAUGGACUCGCGGCUUAUCAGCUUGUUGGUGGGGUAGUGGCUUACCAAGGCUUUGGCGGGUAGCCGGCCUGAGAGUGUGACCGGCCACAGUGGGACUGAGAUACGGCCCAGACUCCUACGGGAGGCAGCAGUAGGGAAUAUUGCACAAUGGGCGGAAGCCUGAUGCAGCAACGCCGCGUGCGGGAUGACGGCCUUCGGGUUGUAAACCGCUUUCGCCUGUGACGAUGCGUGAGUGACGGUAAUGGGUAAAGAAGCACCGGCUAACUACGUG